UUACGGGAAGAAUGCAUUUAUUAGAACAAAACCAAGCGGCUUCGGCCGUUUUUUGUUGACUCAGAAUAACUAAGCUGAUCGCAUGGUCUUGUACCGGCGACGUGUCUUUCAAGUAUCUGCCUUAUCAACUUUCGACGGUAGUGUAUCUGACUACCGUGGUGGUGACGGGUAACGGAGGAUAAGGGUUCGACUCCGGAGAAGGGGCCUGAGAAAUGGCCACUACGUCUAAGGAUGGCAGCAGGCGCGCAAAUUACCCACUCUCAGAACGAGGAGGUAGUGACGAAAAAUAACGAGACCGUUCUCUACGAGGCCGGUCAUCGGAAUGGGUACAAUUUAAACCCUUUAACGAGUAUCUAUGAGAGGGCAAGUCUGGUGCCAGCAGCCGCGGUAAUUCCAGCUCUCAAAAUGCAUAGAAUUAUUGCUGCGGUUAAAAAGCUCGUAGUUGGAUUUGUGCUAGGGACGCGGUCCACCUUCGGGUGCGCACUGCGCUCCCUGGCUUUUUCUGCCGGUUUUCUCGCCGUGGCUUUAACCGGCUGCGGUGGGUGGCUGGUGAUUUUACUUUGAACAAAUCAGAGUGCUUCAAACAGGCGUUUCGCUUGAAUGUUCGUGCAUGGAAUAAUAGAAGAGGAUUUCGGUUCUAUUUUAUUGGUUUUAUAGACUGAAAUAAUGGUUAACAGAGACAAACGGGGGCAUUUGUAUCGCUGCGUGAGAGG
rnacentral:rRNA from 1 species